CAUGUCCCUCAGCUCCCAUCCCCUCCUUCUUCCCUGCCCUGAGAGCCAUCCGGGUUUCCUUUCCAGUCUCCCUCUGCUCCUGUGCUUUCUUCCCCUUCCCUCACUUCCCCUGCUCUGUCUUCUCCUCAGUUCCCCGCCCUCCCUCUCUGCACCUGCCCAGUUUCCCCCAUCUCCCCUCCAUGCUCCCUUCCUCCCCAGCUCCUGAGUUGGACCACCUCAGCUCAGCGCCCUACUUCCUGUGCCUGCCCCUGCCUGCUGCCCACCAUCCCUGCACACAGCUCACUCCUCCCUCUGGCCCUCCUGCUGAGCAGGCGGCUCCCCCACUGCCCUGGGCCUGCCCACCUUCCCCAGCCCCCGCAGUCAAGGCUCUCCAACUCCACACCACCGGGGUGAGGGCAGAGAGGCACCCUCUCCAGGGCUGCGCUUCCUCCAGCAGGGCCUGUGUCCUCACCUCCAACGUGAAGAUCAGGCUGGGCCAUUAUUGCAGAGCUGUGCUGAGUGUUGAAGAAGGAGCCAGCUGAGGAGGUGUGUCAUGCAACUUGCCCCCCCAGCCCUCCCCUUCUAAGGAACCCCCACACCUGCUCUGUCUUCCUGCUACAGUCUCUGAGAAAAGCCCUUUCAUCUGUCAAGAACUACAAAAGUCAUUCUUUAAGUGCUAAAUAAACAAUGAAACAGACACAAAGUUAAAGUUACCUGAUCCAAAAAGGAGUGAAGCCUAGACCCCAGCCCACUGACUCAGUCUCUAAGACCCCUCACUCAAAUCUUCAAUCAACAGUGGAGAUGGCUGUGAGCUCUUCUGAUUCCAGAUGACAAUACUCCUCCCUUUAAUUCCUUGAUAUGUUUAAUUAUGUAAGUAAAUUUAAUAUAAAAAUCAUUGCAUUAGAGUUCAUUGUUUUUAUACAAGAUUCAGUGUGAGAUCAAUGUUAUACUUCCAAUUUGUCACACUUACAGAGAACUGAGAAGAAUCACAUUAUUUAAAAUCUUAGCAAAUGUGCAUAAUUCCUUUGGAUAAUUUUAAAGUGAUAGGAUUGGAUCACAUAUGAUGCAAUUGCCUGGGUCUGUUUUGUUUUUAGUUGUAUUUGUCUCUCAUAUUGUGAAUCUCAUAUUUAUGUGACUAAUUAUCAGAAGAUUUUAUCUUUAUUAUGCAUAUUUAGUAUAAAAUGAUCAUACAGUGAAGAGUGUGUAAAAUCAAAAUAAAAUGCCAUUCAUCACCUCUGGCUCUCAUUCCAAGA
rnacentral:lncRNA from 1 species